rnacentral:rRNA from 1 species
AACGAACGCUGGCGGCAUGCCUAACACAUGCAAGUCGAACGAGGUCUUCGGGUCUAGUGGCGCACGGGUGCGUAACGCGUGGGAAUCUGCCCUUUGGUUCGGAAUAACAGUUGGAAACGACUGCUAAUACCGGAUGAUGACGAAAGUCCAAAGAUUUAUCGCCAGAGGAUGAGCCCGCGUAGGAUUAGCUAGUUGGUGUGGUAAAGGCGCACCAAGGCGACGAUCCUUAGCUGGUCUGAGAGGAUGAUCAGCCACACUGGGACUGAGACACGGCCCAGACUCCUACGGGAGGCAGCAGUGGGAAAUAUUGGACAAUGGGCGGAAGCCUGAUCCAACAAUGCCGCGUGAGUGAUGAAGGCCUUAGGGUUGUAAAGCUCUUUUACCCGGGAUGAUAAUGACAGUACCGGGAGAAUAAGCUCCAGCUAACUCCGUGCCAGCCGCCGCGGUAA